rnacentral:rRNA from 1 species
GUUGGUGAGGUAACGGCUCACCAAGGCGACGAUGGGUAGGGGAACUGAGAGGUUGAACCCCCACACUGGUACUGAGACACGGACCAGACUCCUACGGGAGGCAGCAGUGAGGAAUAUUGGUCAAUGGGCGAGAGCCUGAACCAGCCAAGUCGCGUGAAGGAUGACUGUCUUAUGGAUUGUAAACUUCUUUUAUACGGGAAUAACAAGAGUCACGUGUGGCUCCCUGCAUGUACCGUAUGAAUAAGCAUCGGCUAACUCCGUGCCAGCAGCCGCGGUAAUACGGAGGAUGCGAGCGUUAUCCGGAUUUAUUGGGUUUAAAGGGUGCGUAGGCGGCCUGUUAAGUCAGCGGUGAAAUCUAGGAGCUUAACUCCUAAAUUGCCAUUGAUACUGGCGGGCUUGAGUGUAGAUGAGGUAGGCGGAAUGCGUGGUGUAGCGGUGGAAUGCAUAGAUAUCACGCAGAACUCCGAUUGCGAAGGCAGCUUACUAAGGUACAACUGACGCUGAAGCACGAAAGCGUGGGUAUCAAACAGGAUUAGAUACCCUGGUAGUCCACGCAGUAAACGAUGAUAACUGGGCGUAUGCGAUAUACAGUAUGCUCCUAAGCGAAAGCGUUAAGUUAUCCACCUGGGGAGUACGCCGGCAACGGUGAAACUCAAAGGAAUUGACGGGGGCCCGCACAAGCGGAGGAACAUGUGGUUUAAUUCGAUGAUACGCGAGGAACCUUACCCGGGAUUGAAAUGUAGAUGACCGCUCCUGAAAGGGAGUUUUCCUUCGGGACAUCUAUGUAGGUGCUGCAUGGUUGUCGUCAGCUCGUGCCGUGAGGUGUCGGCUUAAGUGCCAUAACGAGCGCAACCCCUGUCUACGGUUGCCAUCAGGU